UACGUAGGGGGCAAGCGUUGUCCGGAAUCAUUGGGCGUAAAGCGCGUGUAGGCGGCUUCGUAAGUCCGUUGUGAAAGUCCAGGGCUCAACCCUGGAAUGCCGAUGGAUACUGCGGAGCUAGAGUCCGGAAGAGGCGAGUGGAAUUCCUGGUGUAGCGGUGAAAUGCGCAGAUAUCAGGAGGAACACCAAUUGCGAAGGCAGCUCGCUGGGACGUGACUGACGCUGAGACGCGAAAGCGUGGGGAGCAAACAGG
rnacentral:rRNA from 1 species